GGCAGAGACCCAGAGAGUUGGAGUUUUCUGGCGUCGCCGCGGUUGGCCGCAUCGCAGUAGAGUCUGGACUAGAUCGGAGUGUUCUGACGCACGAGUUCAGGGAAGGGAGGUUGAUUGGGAGGCAUGAAAAACUACAAGUUUACACUGCUAUCUCCAAUCCCAAUCGAUACCACUGGGAUUUUUAGGGACGCCUGGGUGGCUUAGUCAGUUAAGCGUCUGUCUGCCUUCGGCUC